rnacentral:rRNA from 1 species
AUGGAAGCAGAUUUGGAGGCACUUGAACCUGAUCCUGGGAAGUGGAUUCCCAUCUCAAUGUAUGCUGUCAAUGACCAAGAUAGAGUAAGAAAAAGAUAUAUUGAGAUGAAGCCAUGUCAAUCAAAGAAUCAUAACUUUGAGUAUACAAAUAAAAGUGGAGUUGACCGCUGCUUUUGCCAUGCUUGGUUUAAAGAAUUUCCAUGGAUUGAGUAUAGUGUGACAAAAGAUAGUGCUUUCUGCUUUGUUUGCUAUUUGUUCAAGGAUAAGACAAAAUAUCCCGGUGGAGAUGCAUUUGUGAAGAAUGGAUUUAGGAACUGGAACAUGAAAUCGAGAUUGAAGAAACAUGAAGGUGAGGUUAGUAGUGCUCAUGCUGAAGCUCAAGAGAAGUAUGAUAUGUUCACUACACCACAAGCAUCAAUUAGGGAGUCUUUUGCUUCAAACACCUCACAAUAUAAGGCUUUGUAUAAGCAGCGUUUGACAUGGACACUCAAAUGUUUGAGAUUUCUAUUGCACCAAGGCUUGGCAUUUAGAGGACAUGAUGAAAGUGAAAACUCACUAAACAAAGGAAAUUUUCUUGAGCUUUUAAAUUGGCUAGCUGGAAAUUUUGAAGAGGUUGAUAGGGUUGUUCUAAAAAAUGCUCCACAGAACUGCAAGAUGACUCACCGUGAUAUACAACAUGAGUUAAUAAAAUGUUGUGCACAGGAGACUACAAAAUUAGUCAUUGAAGAACUUGAUGGUGGCCACUUUGCAAUACUUGCAGAUGAGUCUAGUGAUGUGUAUCAGAAUGAACAGUUGGCAGUUUGCUUGCGUUACGUUGAUAAGAAAGGAAGGGCUGUUGUAAGAUUUUUUGGUCUUGCUCAUGUUGAAGAUACUACCUCUUUGAUGCAUUGGAAUUGGAAGAAGUAG